GAUGAAGAACGCAGCGAAAUGCGAUACGUAAUGUGAAUUGCAAAUUCAGUGAAUCAUCGAGUCUUUGAACGCACAUUGCGCCCCCUGGUAUUCCGGGGGGCAUGCCUGUCCGAGCGUCAUUGCUGCCCUCAAGCACGGCUUGUGUGUUGGGCCCCGUCCUCCGAUCCCGGGGGACGGGCCCGAAAGGCAGCGGCGGCACCGCGUCCGGUCCUCGAGCGUAUGGGGCUUUGUCACCCGCUCUGUAGGCCCGGCCGGCGCUUGCCGAUCAACCCAAAUUUUUAUCCAGGUUGACCUCGGAUCAGGUAGGGAUACCCGCCGAACUUAAGCAUAUCAAUAAGCGGAGGA
rnacentral:misc_RNA from 1 species